rnacentral:tRNA from 1 species
UGGGGUGUGGCUCCAUGACAGGGCGCUCGCCUACCAUGAAUGAGGCACUGGGUUCGAUCCCCAGCACCACAU